UUAACUUCGAAACUGCAUUCGAUACUGCCGUGCUUGAGGACUGGAGAGGAGACUGGAAUUUACGGUGUAGCGGUGAAAUGCGUAGAUAUCGUAAGGAAGACCAGUGGCGAAGGCGGGUCUCUGGACAGUUCCUGACGCUGAGGCACGAAGGCCAGGGGAGCAAACGGGAUUAGAUACCCCGGUAGUCCUGGCAAUAAACGGUGCACGUUUGGUGUGGGAGGAUUCGACCCCUUCUGCGCCGGAGCUAACGCGUUAAACGUGCCGCCUGGGGAGUACGGUCGCAAGAUUAAAACUCAAAGAAAUUGACGGGGGCCCGCACAAGCGGUGGAGUAUGUGGCUUAAUUCGAUGCAACGCGAAGAACCUUACCUGGCCUUGACAUGCAUCUCUAAGCUGGUGAAAGCCAGUGAGUCCCGAAAGGGACAAUUUGCACAGGUGCUGCAUGGCUGUCGUCAGCUCGUGUCGUGAGAUGUUGGGUUAAGUCCCGCAACGAGCGCAACCCCUGUGAACUGUUGCCACCGGCCCGUGAGGGUCGAGCACUCUGUUCAGACUGCCCUGUGAAACGGGGAGGAAGGUGGGGACGACGUCAAGUCAGUAUGGCCCUUACGGCCAGGGCUGCACACGUACUACAAUGCCCAGUACAGAACGAUCCGAGACCGCGAGGUGGAGGAAAUCACUAAAACUGGGCCCAGUUCGGAUUGAAGUCUGCAACUCGACUUCAUGAAGCCGGAAUCGCUAGUAAUGGCGCAUCAGCUACGGCGCCGUGAAUACGUUCCCGGGCCUUGUACACACCGCCCGUCACAUCAUGGAAGUUGCUUGUAGCCGAAGCCGGCGCGCUAACCCGCAAGGGAGGCAGCCUUCUACGCUAUGAGCAGUAACUGGGAUGAAGUCGUAACAAGGUAGCCGUAGGGGAACC
rnacentral:rRNA from 1 species